rnacentral:lncRNA from 1 species
UUUUUUUUUUUCUUAUGUAUUUGGAGAAAUCAUUUCAAUCAAUUACAGAAAGUUUACUGGGGUCAUUGCAAGGCAUAAGGACUGAAACAAAGGUUUUGGCCUCAAAGAAUUCCCUGUCCAGUGGAGCAACUAACUUUACUCUCUUAAUAGGAUAAGGGAUUUUGGCCUUAGAGUUCACCUGUGGAGCCCGUUCCUUGAUCUUUAGGGGGGAAGAAAGGAAACUUUGUUGGUCCUUCUAGGAGCUGGCCGUCAAAAGCACACUCACACUCCGUACAGUGCCCAGACUGAACAGACCCUUAGGGAUCUAAGGAAAGGUCAGGAAAAGUUUCAGACCCAGCCGACUUGAAGGGAGCUAUUAACCGAUCAGAAAAGAGCCCCAUGUGCGCCCGGCCCCAGUGUCUCCCCUUGCUCUGGGGUUCAGGGCCAAAGAGCAAAAUGACUGAAGACUAUUGGAGUCUCUUCAAAAUAGAAGCAACUAUGAAGAGGAUGGAAAUGCAGAAGGCGCUGAAAUUCCAAUAACAAAUGACAAGAGCUAAGCCACAAGAGUCUGGGAGUGGAAACUGAAGAGAUAGUUGCGUCAUUCCACCCUAUGUCUGCAGGGUGCUGUGGGACCCCCCUGCAAGUCAGUAGAACCAAUGUGUGACAAUGUAAACAACAGUGCGAGAGGUAAACCCACAAACAUCAUUUCAGUUGGAAACAAAGCUACUCAGAUGUCUCCUUAAGAGCUGGGAAAAUGCUGAACUGUCAACUCUUUUCAUGGGGUUGGAGCCUGAGCAGCAAGAGUCAUGGGCUGAGGGUAAAUAAUAUCAGGUGGGUGGUGACUCUUGGUGACAUUUUUCCUAUCUGCUGAGGUCCUCUUCCCAGGUACACAUCCAGGGUUCUGAAAGGGGAAAAGACCCCUUUGUGCACCUUCCUCCACGUCAUUGGAACCCAGACUCAUAGGUGUCACCGGCGACCACUGAUGGCAGUCUGAAAAUCUGUCAUUGGAGCCUCCAGAUAAAGCCAUGCCUUUACCUCCAUCUGGGACUAGUAGCCACUGUCCCUGCCUUCCCCUGCCUCAUUCUGUAUUAUAAUGCUUCAGAAAAUGAACUUUAAAUGUUAAUAACUUUCGGGAAAUUGUAUUAUUAUUCUUAGAGAAUUUAGCGUGGCGAGGAACUCCCCAGUGAGGUGGGAUUCAAAGAUGAACAAGACAUAGCCAUUACUCUGUCAGGGGUCUUCCAAGCCAGUGUUGCUAUCUCAGGGGGAAGCUGGACUUGGAAGCUGGAACUCAGAGACACCCCCUGGGGGGAGGUAGCCUCUGCGCAAGUCUGACAAAGUUGCCUAGAAACUUCUGAACCAAAGUUAGACGUGGGGAUGUGAAGUUCUCAGAUGUCAGUUUCUGGAGAAGAAGACUGGAAAAAACAGGGAGCUCUCUUGGCUUUUGUGGGAUAUGGGUCCUCAUGCUGCUCAGAAACAGGGCAAGGGGCUGCCUCCCCGAGGCGGUGCAGCAGAAGCCAAAAGGCCAGGUUGUUGUGGCUGGAAGGGUUAGCUCCCCUGUUGAUGGUAACUGGUGGAUCCCAAGGGCAGCCACACAGAGCCCAGAGGGAGAUGGAGGUGGGACAAGCCUUGAAUGGUCCUUUCUGAUUCAACAGGACGAGACAGGGGGAGAAGGAUGAACUGGCUUUGCAUCUUUGGGAAAUGAUUAGAUGAUGCCCUUCUCUGAGCCUUUCUUUUCCCCUCCUUCACUCUCCUGGGACCCCACCGCUGCUAUUUAAAAGAGAGGGGGGAAAAAGUCACCAGAUGAUAAGGUAAAAGCUCAAAGAGAAAAAAAUUCAGAGAAACAGACAAGAUAUCUGGAGAAUAAAAAAGAGAAAAGUAGGGAUCCCUGGGUGGUUCAGCGGUUUAGCACCUGCCUUUAACCCAGGGCAUGAUGAGUCCCACAUCGGCCUCCCUGCAGGGAGCCUGCUUCUCCCUCUGCCUGUGUCUCUGCCUCUCUCUCUCUCUCUCUCUCUCUCUCUCCCUCUCUCAUGAAUAAAUAAAUACAAUCUUAAAAAAAAAAGUAGAACUAUCUAGAAUGCAAAUAGGGGUAGAAAUAAAGCAAACACAGGAAGAGAUUAAGCAACAUGGAAAGUUAAGAGAAUUUGUUACUGGAAGAAGGAUAAGGGUGAGAAAGAAAGAAAAAGGAGGCACCCAGUCAAAGAGGGGAAGAGAGGGGGAAAGCGCACUUAGCCGAACCCUCCCUCCCUUUAUCAUUUCCAUGUCUCUGUCUGUCCUCUGCCCUCCCAGCUCUUCCUUCUUCCCUUUAUUCCUUAAUAAAUAGCAGAGCCCAAAAAUGCCCUGCUAGAAACAAGGGAGGGAAAGAUGAUGAAACCAUCUCCUUGUUCUUAAAUUCCCCGCUAGGGAAUUACAUGGUACCCUGCAAAAGGCAGGGGGUAAUGCUGGUGUACUUGGAGUUGGGCUGGCUGAGGGGUGGGGGGCAAGGCAAGGCUUGGUGGGAGCAGGGCAUUCUGUGUGUAUACUAGAGAGAGAUUGAUUUUGAUCACCCCAAACUGCCUUGUUGGUUGAGACUGUGCUGCAGACUGGGGAACCCAGUGAUGUGGGUGGCAGCUAAAGAUUCAGACCCUUAAAGUUUCCAGCUCCCCUCAAAGUGUUAGGUUAAUUGAGUAUUUUAGGAGCGCUGGGCAGGUGGCUGUGGCCUCCUCACAAACAUAACAUUGUGGGAGAAAUUAAGAGAUUUCCUCCACUUCUCCUGAAUCAGUAACUAGUAAGAGGAGUAACCCCCCCCACACACACACACACACACAGAGCCCUGUGUGCUGUCACUGUCAUUUGAUAGGACAUUUCAACACCAAAUUGUGGUGUACACCCCAUGUUCUUUGGAGCUCGCCUGCUCUGCUCUGAGUGGGUUCCCUAGGGCCUACAUUGGAAGCUUUUCCCAGAGGGCCCUGGAGUCUAUGAGGUUGGGUGUUGCAUUCCAGCUCCUGCUCUGCCUCUGUUAUGCAGUCAGCAUUCUCCACAGCAGGCCCCUCUGUGGAGCCCAUUCCUUGAUCUUUAUAGAAUCCCUCCUACCUCUCCUUGGCCAGAGGCCACAUAACUCACAGUAAAUGAGAUUUAAAAAAAACAACAACAACAACAACCCCAAAACCCUUCCUUGUUGCUGCCUUUUCAAGCCACUGUCCCAUGGGGGCGCAGGGCCAAAGAUGGAGGUGUAGGCCUCACAAGGACGUGGCUUCCCCUGCUCAGGAGACGGGCAGCUAACGUCACUUUGAAUCACUGUCUUAUGAAGUGUUCUCAUUCUGCCUGCGUUUGGAUGUGCCGCCUCCUGCUGUUGACAUCUUGGGGCCAGUUACGCACGUACAGAGGGUCUUUUUGUCUUGAGCUUGUGCGAAGUGUGGCUGGUUAUUACUUGCUAGUUCUCCCGGGUAACUUUUGAAUGCUGGAACGUUCUUCAAGUCUUCCUUUUAGUCAACAAGUGCCUUCACAGUCUGUCUCCUGCUCCCCUAUCAAAGCCAAAGGUCGGGUAUCUUUUGCAAAAGGGACCGGGUACGUCAUCACACCAAGGGGAAGAAGACCCACAGUCACUCCUCUGACAUUGAGCCUAGGGCCCGAAGGAGGGCUCCGUGGCCAAGAGGAAUGUUGCCUGGGUUUAUAGGGAUCCACACAUUUCCCCUCCCCGGAGAGACGGGACAGAUGCGUUUUUGAAAUCUCUGAAACACAGAUGGACUGUUCUUAUCACGCCUGCUUUGUGAUAUGCGGUCUCAUAUCCGUAGAGUAUGGUUAGAUCUUUCCCCCAGGACUUUCCCUAAAUCUCUUUCAGGAAUGUGCAAGGCUGUUUUCUUGCUCUUUCUCCUUCCCUCUGACCUCUCUUUUCCAUCUUCUUAGCAGCUUCCUCCUUCACGCCCAGUGUCUCGAUGUCCUCCAGAGCUCCAAACUGUCAAAAUCUACUGUACACCAAGAGGCUAGAUAAUUAGCACGAGGGUCAGAGAGACCCACCAGGCUUCCAUUUUUGCUCACAACCUGUUUCCCAGGGUAAGAGUUCCCUGGGAAUUAGGAAUGUCACCAGACGUCUAUGGGGAUCCCCAUGUUUUCCCUUUUCCUAGAGAGGAGUAACUGUCACUUCCAAAACCAUUGACUUAUGGGUGGAUUAUGGGUUCUCAUCCUUUCUGCUUUGACCCCUGUCCUCUGUGGCAGAUGGCACCUCUCACGGCUAUGUCUGGAGCAUUUCCCAGGGUCAGCUGUAGACCUCCAUGAAGUUUGGGUGUUUGUCUUCUGGCUUCCCCUCUCCCUGCCCCUCAAAGGAUCUUGCUGAGAUCCUCUCAGGUGUCCAGAGCUUUUGUGUUCUGUCUCUGCCCUUACUCACACCAGCUCUUGGUCAUCCUCUGGGAUGCAGUCAUAUCACUCUUAGAAAAAAAGUUAAAAAAAAAAAAAAA